rnacentral:rRNA from 1 species
UACGUAGGUGGCAAGCGUUGUCCGGAAUUAUUGGGCGUAAAGCGCGCGCAGGCGGUCCUUUAAGUCUGAUGUGAAAGCCCACGGCUCAACCGUGGAGGGUCAUUGGAAACUGGAGGACUUGAGUACAGAAGAGGAAAGUGGAAUUCCACGUGUAGCGGUGAAAUGCGUAGAGAUGUGGAGGAACACCAGUGGCGAAGGCGACUUUCUGGUCUGUAACUGACGUUGAGGCGCGAAAGCGUGGGGAGCAAACAGG